UUUAACGGCCGCGGUACCCUAACCGUGCGAAGGUAGCAUAAUCACUUGUUCUUUAAAUAGGGACUAGUAUCAACGGCAUCACGAGGGUUACACUGUCUCCUUUCUCCAAUCAGUGAAACUGAUCUCCCCGUGAAGAAGCGGGGAUAAAACUAUUAGACGAGAAGACCCCAUGGAGCUUUAAGCUCAACAACAACUCUUAUGAAAAUAAUUCCCCAUAGUAUACGAACCCUGUUUGUUAGCUUUAGGUUGGGGUGACCGCGGAGAAUAAUUCAACCUCCACGGCGAAAGGGUAUAAAACCCUAAUCCAAGAGCCACUGCUCUAAGAAUCUUUAAAUUGACGUACAAUGAUCCGAUUUUCGAUCAACGAACCAAGUUACCCUGGGGAUAACAGCGCAAUCCAUUUCUAGAGCCCCUAUCGACAAAUGGGUUUACGACCUCGAUGUUGGAUCAGGGU
rnacentral:rRNA from 1 species